GGUUGAUGAGGAUUCAUAUUAAGGCUUGUUUCUCAAAACAUUCGCAGUGGCCGCCUAAAGCUUUCGCCUUUCGCCAGGCUUGAGAGCUAAUGCAGCUUUUAUCCUUCCUUGGAUGUCUGAAACC
rnacentral:snoRNA from 1 species